rnacentral:rRNA from 1 species
AGGACGAACGCUGGCGGCGUGCUUAACACAUGCAAGUCGAGCGGAAAGGCCCUUCGGGGUACUCGAGCGGCGAACGGGUGAGUAACACGUGAGCAACCUGCCCUUGGCUUUGGGAUAACCCUCGGAAACGGGGGCUAAUACUGAAUGUUUACUGUUGCCGGCAUCGGUGGUGGUAGAAAGAUUUUUUGGCCAGGGAUGGGCUCGCGGCCUAUCAGCUUGUUGGUGGGGUAAUGGCCUACCAAGGCGACGACGGGUA